CGGAAAGGGCGUGGGGUCGGUAGGGGACGGAGUCCAUCAGCGCGCAUGCGCCCUAUGGCGUGAGUGUGUGAUUGACAGCAAGGGGAGCUGCCACAGCGGACUGACAAGCUCCAAGCGACUGGAGGACUAGUAUGCAAAUUUCAGAUGAUUGACACCUACAGUAGAAACCAAUCACGCUGGAGUAGGUUGCUGGUUGGUUGGCAACGAUUUGACGUAAAAUUGACGUUUCAAAAAGCUAACAUCCAAUCAAGGCAACUCAUGCAAAUAAAGGAAGGAGUCACGUUACCAAGGGCCCGGGAGACUUGAGCACGCCCUCACGUGUUCAGUGGUGGAUAUUGCACAGACGCCAGCACGAUCCUCUGAAUAAAUGCAGCAAAAUGCUCAACUCUACAGCUCACCUAGGCCUUUCUCAAACUUCUGUGCCACUGGAAUAUAAAUUAUCUUUUUUAAAAAUCAAGAGUUACGUCGUGCACGUAUAUAAUGGUUUAGUCUAGAAAUCUAUGUAAUGUAACUGUGAACUUCCAGCGCAAAGAAUUUCCUUCUCCAUUCCCACCAACCCACGGAAUCUCUGUCUUUAAAUUAAUCCUUCGUGGAGGAGGCUGUUUCCUACCUUGGUUUCAAAACGACGAGAUGUUCAAAGCCUUUCCCCGGAGAAACCCACCCUAGGCACAGAUGGUCAGUAAAUUUGGCUUCUUCAGCGAAAUUCCGCAUGGCACCGCCAGAUGGCACAAGGAUCGCCUUCCACUCUCCUCACCGCCCCCACCCCUGCAAGUAAUUUAGAAAAAUUGAAAAUCGAACACUUUUAUGUUUUAUAGCUAAGUUAAGUGAGAACG
rnacentral:lncRNA from 1 species